UAUGUCGGACGACUUGUAGUUUGAAACACGUCUAAAGUAAAAGGCAUACAUUUUGUGGAUUUUUGUGCUCGAUUUCAAGUAUAAUAAGGAUCAUGGCAUCAUCAGAGCAGGUGUAACCAAGAAUAGGGUUCCAAGGGCUGCAAAGGUGAAGAAAAAGGCCCCAGUUCCAGUUCAGAUCACAGCUGAACAACUCUUGAGAGAAGCAAAGGAGAAGCAGUCAAUUGGUUCCACCAGCAUUUGAAGACAACCUUCAUAAAAACAGAUCAGUGAUAAGUAACUGGUUGAAGUAUGCUUAGUGAGAAGAAAGUCAGAAAGAAAUUCAAAGGUAUGAUCUAAACCAUUUCAGCGUCAAUUGUGAGAACCAAAGUAGGAUUCGAGUCUUUCCACCAGGAUCACAUGCUGAAUGGUGCCAAAAGCCGCCGAUAGAUCAAGAAGGACUACUACAACAUCUCGACGGCGGUCUAUCGUUGGAAAUUAGUCACGUCCUUUUGUUGCAAGACACGAAAAAAGAAACUUGGACAAUGAUGCAUACGAAACUGUUAACAGCUUGAUAUAGUGCCACUAAAACUAACUCUUAAGCUAGAAAUUUGAUCUUUUAUCAUUUAAGAAUACAUGUCUAGCAGCUGAUAGAAUCUUAAAUCUCAGCGGAUGUGUACUUGACACAUGGAAUUUUCUCAGGAGAAUUUCUGCUUCAAGAACUGCUACUUUAACCCCUUAACCCUUCAAUUCCCAAGAUCUGAUAGUUAAUUCUCCCCUCUAGCUGCUACACAUUUCCUUGUAAAUUGGUUAUGAGAAUUUGGUGUUAGAUCAGGAUAACAACUUCUUCCUGAUAAGAUUGAGUAUUCUGGGUAAUGUAUGAAUAUUAUGAGGAGAAGUUACAUUUUAAUCGCUUCUGGAAGUUAAAGGGUGAAAUUCAAAGGGGUCAGAUUCACAGUACAUUAGGUGCAUAUAUCUGGAGGGCACAACCUCCUUCUCUUUACAAAUGCCAGCAGUAGUUUUGCCCAUUGUGGUCAUCUUAACAAGAAAGGUGAAAAAAGAUGAUCAGAAAUGAACAGAAUUAGGAAAUGCAAGAACUGAAAUUUUUACCUAUUUCCAAGGAAAUUUGAAUUUACAUGUAGAGGGUAAUUUUUUUAUUAGUGUAAAUUUCUUGUCAGGGUAAGGGAUUUUGAAUGAAUAAUUUUUAGUUGAGAACUCUCACAGGUUAUCAUCAAUUAUGGUUACCCUUCCCUGUCUUUUGUAUGGAGUGACUGAAA